rnacentral:rRNA from 2 species
UGUCGUCAGCUCGUGUUGUGAAAUGUUGGGUUAAGUCCCGCAACGAGCGCAACCCUUAUCCUUUGUUGCCAGCGGUCCGGCCGGGAACUCAAAGGAGACUGCCAGUGAUAAACUGGAGGAAGGUGGGGAUGACGUCAAGUCAUCAUGGCCCUUACGACCAGGGCUACACACGUGCUACAAUGGCGCAUACAAAGAGAAGCGACCUCGCGAGAGCAAGCGGACCUCAUAAAGUGCGUCGUAGUCCGGAUUGGAGUCUGCAACUCGACUCCAUGAAGUCGGAAUCGCUAGUAAUCGUGGAUCAGAAUGCCACGGUGAAUACGUUCCCGGGCCUUGUACAC